AUUGAACGCUGGCGGCAGGCCUAACACAUGCAAGUCGAGCGGAGCGGCGGACGGGUGAGUAAUGUCUGGGAAACUGCCUGAUGGUGGGGGAUAACUACUGGAAACGGGCGCUAAUACCGCAUACUAUCAGAUUAGCCUAGGUCGGAUUAGCUAGUUGGUGGGGUAAAGGCCGACCAAGGCGACGAUCCGUAACUGGUCUGAGAGGAUGAUCAGUCAGACUGGAAAGUGGACACGGGCAAGACUCCGACGGGAGGGAGCAGUGGGGAAUAUUGGACAAUGGGCGAAAGCCUGAGCCAGCCAUGCCGAGUGUGUGAAGAAGGUCUUCGGAUUGUAAAGCACUUUAAGUUGGGAGGCGUUACCAACAGAAUAAGCACCGGCUAACUUCGUGCCAGCAGCCGCGGUAAUAC
rnacentral:rRNA from 1 species